GCGUUCCCGAAGUCGGAAUCGGCAAAGGUGAGCCGGGACAGCCUUCUUCCUCCGCCCAGCCGCCACAGUAAUUUGUCGUCAAGUCUGAAAAUGCGUAGAAGCAGGAGAGCUGCCACUGCACCAGAACCAGAUGUGCCCGACGAAGUGUCGGCACAGGAUGAGGCGCCUGCCCCGAGGAGGCGGGGUAGGAGGCCUAGAGCUGCUCAAGUAGAGGAGCAGCCAAC